rnacentral:lncRNA from 1 species
GUAAGUUGCUACUCAACCACGGCUAAGCUAGUUUUGCCGGUGUUUUAAAGCCUAGCUUGUAAGGCUUUUCGUAUAUGGACUUGGUGUACGCAGUUGUAAAUGCAGUUAGGGCCCUCUGAAGACCAGAUGCAAGGAUUUAAACGAAAGCCUCCCGAGAAACUAAAGUCUGAACAUCUGUGUCGGAAAGAACGCACCCACGGAACAUGAGGGAACCCUUCUUUGGUUGACGAUACUCAUUUGUGUCGCCUCUAAAGAAGGUAGUACCUCUAUGUUCGUCUUGUGAAGUGCCAACAGUCUGAAGAAAACUUCUGAAGUCAACUUACUACAUCUGAAGAAAAGUCUACGAUAAAUUUCUACACCCUCAAAUAAUUAAAAAAUGGGAUUUAUUGACGGUGCGGGCCCUCGGGUCCGCAUCGUUGGACUGCGGUGCGGGCCUUCGGGUCCGUACCGAUGGGGAAGAUGUUAACUCUCUUCCCCAUUUCUGAGGGUGUAAUUUUGACUGUCACCGUCGUCCAUCAGACAACAAAAUAAUUUGUACUUUAGUAUUUUCGCAAAAUUCUUGUUGCUACAUUAAUUUUUUUCCAUUUCAACAGAAACAAUAAAAUUAUUGUACACAAAUUGAUCAAUAAAGCAGAUUUUUAAUAGUA